UACGUAGGUGGCAAGCGUUGUCCGGAUUUACUGGGUGUAAAGGGCGUGUAGCCGGGCUUACAAGUCAGAUGUGAAAUCCGGGGGCUCAACCCCCGAACUGCAUUUGAAACUGUAGGUCUUGAGUAUCGGAGAGGCAGGCGGAAUUCCUAGUGUAGCGGUGAAAUGCGUAGAUAUUAGGAGGAACACCAGUGGCGAAGGCGGCCUGCUGGACGACAACUGACGGUGAGGCGCGAAAGCGUGGGGAGCAGACAGG
rnacentral:rRNA from 1 species